rnacentral:ncRNA from 1 species
GAUAAAGCAAUGACAAAGAGUAGUACAUUUGCUCAGGGAUUAAAGAGAGUUUGUGGCUGGUGGAAACAAACAUCCCGGCAAAUCGAAUGGACUUUAGAGCUCCGGCUGCGAAAGGCUGCUUCCUGCUGCCUAUUAGCUUCCGGCGUAUCCCGCGUUAUGGGAAGCCCGGCCUGCAGGCAAGCCGGGGUUAAGAGGCCUCAGCCGAGGCACUUAGGGUGGCACCGCGGACCAUUCGUCCCUAUU